rnacentral:tRNA from 1 species
AAAGGUGUAGUUCAAGUGUUAGAACAUCUGCCUAGUAAGCACAAGUCUUUGAGUUCAAACCCCAGUAUUGUCA